CAGCCGCCGCGGGAAUACGGAGGGAGCUAGCGUUGUUCGGAAUUACCGGGCGUAAAGCGCACGUAGGCGGCUUUGUAAGUUAGAGGUGAAAGCCUGGAGCUCAACUCCAGAAUUGCCUUUAAGACUGCAUCGCUUGAAUCCGGGAGAGGUGAGUGGAAUUCCGAGUGUAGAGGUGAAAUUCGUAGAUAUUCGGAAGAACACCAGUGGCGAAGGCGGCUCACUGGACCGGCAUUGACGCUGAGGUGCGAAAGCGUGGGGAGCAAACAGGAUUAGAUACCCCCGUAGUCCCUGUCUCUUAUAC
rnacentral:rRNA from 1 species